rnacentral:rRNA from 1 species
GAUGAACGCUGGCGGCGUGCCUAAUACAUGCAAGUCGAGCGAACAGACGAGGAGCUUGCUCCUCUGACGUUAGCGGCGGACGGGUGAGUAACACGUGGAUAACCUACCUAUAAGACUGGGAUAACUUCGGGAAACCGGAGCUAAUACCGGAUAAUAUAUUGAACCGCAUGGUUCAAUAGUGAAAGACGGUUUUGCUGUCACUUAUAGAUGGAUCCGCGCCGCAUUAGCUAGUUGGUAAGGUAACGGCUUACCAAGGCGACGAUGCGUAGCCGACCUGAGAGGGUGAUCGGCCACACUGGAACUGAGACACGGUCCAGGCUCCUACGGGAGGCAGCAGUAGGGAAUCUUCCGCAAUGGGCGAAAGCUUGACGGAGCAACGCCGCGUGAGUGAUGAAGGUCUUCGGAUCGUAAAACUCUGUUAUUAGGGAAGAACAAAUGUGUAAGUAACUAUGCACGUCUUGACGGUACCUAAUCAGAAAGCCACGGCUAACUACGUG